CAAAUUACUUGCUAAAUCUUUUACUGAACGUAUACUGUAAAAGCAUAAUAAAGUACAAUAAUUACCUUCCGCUAUUUAAGCCACCAGGUCUGAAUUUCUGCGCUUCAGGUCAGACCAUAGGCGCUGGAGCUGGCGGAGGUCCACAUCAAGGGCAAACCCGAGAUCGAGACAGGACAAAGAGAGGGCGCGGUGAUUGGAGAAAUUGCUCUUUUCAUUCUCCUAACACAAGUUUGAACAACUGGAUGUGGGAAUAAGUGUAACGAAACAGAAACAAAAACGUGUGCCUGCUGUAAAAGCAUAGUACCCUGCUGCAGGGAAACCUUUUUGCCAGAGUCUGGAAAUGUUCGUGUAGCAGAUGGAAAGAAGCAUUUUGAUCCUCAGGUCUGGACUUGCAUCUACCCAGCCUCAAAAAUACUUAGUUGGUCUGUCUAUCUAUGUAUCUAUCAUCCAUCCAUCAUCUAUCCAUCUUUUAUCUGCAGUACUUAUAUACCCUCUACCUAUUAUCCUUAUUUUAAUCACCUAUCAAUAUAUACGUUGUAGUAUGUUUAAACAAAAUAUAUCUAUAUUUACAUAGAUUAAUAGUUUCUACUUGUUAUGUGUGGCUUAUCGAAGUGAAUUCUGUGGGCAGUUUCACCAGUGAUACCAAUUUAUUCAGAUUCAAUAUACCAUAAUUUAUUUAUUUAAUUUAGGAAAGGAACCUUCCUACAUAAACUUGUUUGUGUAUGGGAUAAGUCAUAAAUGCAAUUUGUCCCCUUGUAUUCGAAUGACUGCACACAGGAUAUAAAGCGAUACACAAGUAAACAAUAUUCAUUUUCACUGUAUCUUUUAUUUAAAUUCCUUCCAAGAAAGCUGUUCUGUAAUAAAUAUAUCAAUAGUUAUCAAGAAAAUAUAAAAAAUAAAGGCAAGCAAUGUAUCUGUCUUAACAAAAUAAGUUCAAGCGAAUGUC